rnacentral:tRNA from 1 species
GGCCUCAUAGCUCAGUUAGCUAGAGCUUUGGCUGUCCUAAAUCAUUCCCCUUGCUGGCGUGGGUUCAAAUCCAACUGAGGCUG